GUACCUAACGUAGUUCCUUCGGUGGUUGGAACGAUGCAAAGAAGAGUUAGCGUGGGCCCUGCGUAAGGAUGACAAGUAAAGUCGUGAAGUAUUGCAUUGAAAU
rnacentral:snRNA from 1 species